rnacentral:rRNA from 1 species
CGGCGAAAAACCUUACACACAGUGUUUUUUGUUAUUACAAGAACUUUUGCUUUGGUCUGGACUAGAAAUAGUUUGGGCCAGAGGUUUACUGAACUAAACUUCAAUAUUUAUAUUGAAUUGUUAUUUAUUUAAUUGUCAAUUUGUUGAUUAAAUUCAAAAAAUCUUCAAAACUUUCAACAACGGAUCUCUUGGUUCUCGCAUCGAUGAAGAACGCAGCGAAAUGCGAUAAGUAAUAUGAAUUGCAGAUUUUCGUGAAUCAUCGAAUCUUUGAACGCACAUUGCGCCCUCUGGUAUUCCAGAGGGCAUGCCUGUUUGAGCGUCAUUUCUCUCUCAAACCUUCGGGUUUGGUAUUGAGUGAUACUCUUAGUCGAACUAGGCGUUUGCUUGAAAUGUAUUGGCAUGAGUGGUACUGGAUAGUGCUAUAUGACUUUCAAUGUAUUAGGUUUAUCCAACUCGUUGAAUAGUUUAAUGGUAUAUUUCUCGGUAUUCUAGGCUCGGCCUUACAAUAUAACAAACAAGUUUGACCUCAAAUCAGGUAGGAUUACCCGCUGAACUUAAGCAUAUCAA